rnacentral:rRNA from 1 species
UAACACGUGAGCAACCUUCCGAAAUAUGGGGGAGUAGCCGGCCUAACCGGCCGACGUAAUACCGCAUACGCUCUCGAUGAGGCAUUUCAUUGAGAGGAAACCUCCGGGGUAUUUCGAGGGGCUCGCGGCCUAUCAGCUAGUUGGCGAGGUAACGGCUCACCAAGGCAACGACGGGUAGCUGGUCUGAGAGGAUGGCCAGCCACAUUGGGACUGAGAUACGGCCCAG